UUUGGCGGAAACGUUAUCGCUAGAUUAGUGUUACUCUAGAAUUUCUUUUUUCAUCCUAUUUUGGAUGAGACAACCUACCUGCGUGUUGUUUCUUUUUACGUGACACAGCUGUACCAAUAAUUUCUUUUAAAUAUGCUUCAGAAGCUCCGCUCCUCAAGGCAUCUCUCAAUGAAAUUUCACCCUUCCCUUCAAAGAGGCAUACUUUCAAGUUACCAUCUGCAGUAAUGCGUAAUCUGUUACACGAACUACAAAAAUGCUCGCUCAUCGAGGUAAUGAAACCCACCUGUCCCACAAAUCCAGGAAACCAUUCUAUUUUCUUGCCACUGGUUGCCAGAAAAUGGCAUGUACUCGAUGAAGCGUACAUCGAUUGGUCUGUCUUUUGUAAACGUCACAAACUCUACCAGUUCAUCGUCAUUAUAAUUCCGCAUAAUGACACAGUUUAUCUAUGGUUAUAUCCUAGCUGCACUGCUAAAUCAAUAGCUGCCAUAACUCUGUUCCAUCCUUUCCGUCUGGUGAACUUUUCAAAACGUUCUUCCUUGAGGGUGUCUAAGGAAAUAUUAAGCCCAUCGAGACCGGCCCUCUGGAGAGCCGGUAGCUGUCUUGUAAGCGUCAAUCCAUUAGUCGUUAUUGCCAAAUGUUUUAAUCCAUCGAGUUCCUUCAAACGACCUAUUAAAGGAUAGAGUACAGCUGUGAAGUGGUUUUCUUCUAGUUCUAGCGUCACACAAGCAAGUUUCAAAUUUUCAUAUUACCCACCAAUAAUGUCGACAAUGUCUUUACGCACUGUUGGCUCGCCACCGGUAAGGCGGAUUUUCUGUACACCUUCCUGAACAAAAACAUUUGCGAUUUUACAAAUUUCAUCCGUUGUUAAUAUUCCUUCUCUCUUGGUCAAUGUCACACCUUCUGCAGGCAUGCAGUAUGUACCUAGAAAAAUGUUAUUACCGGAUUAAUUUAACAAAAUUUCUUUUACAGCAAACGUCCCUUGUCCUAAGUUUUUUUGCUCACAUCUCAAGUUACAACGUUCCGUCAGAGAUAUUCUCAAAUAGGUGUGAUGUCUGCCAAAACUAUCCGUAAGAAUACUGCUACUGGCGUCAUUCUUCAAUCGUUGCCUGAAUCUUUGUAACUGUAAUAGCACAAAGAGACAUCUGAUGGAGCAUCAACUGUGAUAAGAGAGAAAUGUAUGAGUAAUAUUUUUCAACCUUACUUUUAGUGAAGGCUGCUGAAUUGUGGAGGUGGCAGACUCCGUUGAUAGAAAUACAGCGUUAAUGAGUUUCUUAGAGAAAUGGACUUUACGCAGCAUCAUUACUACACAAGAUCAGAAUUGGAAAAUGACUGGCAUCUUCGAGCUGAACUAUCUUCGUUCACGAUAGUUACAACGUCUUUAGAUUGAGAAAAUCAAAGAGAUAGUCGACCAGAUAAGGACUGAACCCCUUCUGUGUACUGGAGCAAC
rnacentral:misc_RNA from 1 species